ACGGAGGGUGCAAGCGUUAAUCGGAAUUACUGGGCGUAAAGCGCGCGUAGGCGGCUUGGUCAGUUAGGUGUGAAAUCCCAGGGCUCAACCUUGGAACUGCAUCUAAUACUGCCAAGCUAGAGUAUGUUAGAGGAAUGCGGAAUUCCAGGUGUAGCGGUGAAAUGCGUAGAUAUCUGGAGGAACAUCAGUGGCGAAGGCGGCAUUCUGGAGCAAUACUGACGCUGAGGUGCGAAAGCGUGGGGAGCAAACAGG
rnacentral:rRNA from 1 species